rnacentral:rRNA from 1 species
AAUUGGAGGGCAAGUCUGGUGCCAGCAGCCGCGGUAAUUCCAGCUCCAAUAGCGUAUAUUAAAGUUGUUGCAGUUAAAAAGCUCGUAGUUGAAUUUCGGGAUUGACGUGAUGGUCGUGCCUUACGGGGUAUGAACUGUUGCUGUUGAUUUCUCACCUUCUGGAGAAACUUGAUGUCCUUAAUUGGGUGUCUUGCGGAUCCAGGACCUUUACCUUGAGAAAAUUAGAGUGUUUAAAGCAGGCAUUUUGCUCGAAUACAUUAGCAUGGAAUAAUAGAAUAGGACGGCAUGGUUCUAUUUUGUUGGUUUCUAGGAUCACCGUAAUGAUUAAUAGGGAUAGUUGGGGGCAUUAGUAUUCAAUUGUCAGAGGUGAAAUUCUUGGAUUUAUUGAAGACUAACUACUGCGAAAGCAUUUGCCAAGGAUGUUUUCAUUAAUCAAGAACGAAAGUUAGGGGAUCGAAGACGAUCAGAUACCGUCGUAGUCUUAACCAUAAACUAUGCCGACUAGGAAUCAGACGAUGUUAAUUUUUUAAUGACUCGUUUGGCACCUUACGGGAAACCAAAGUGU